AAUUCUGACAGCCACACUUCUGUCGACCAUGUCGACGGAUGUUUAUGUUUCCAUUGAUCAGCCGUUGAUAAGCUACGAGUAAUAAAGGGGAAAAGAUGGACAUUAAAGUGUGUGAUCUAUGUGGAUGUUACUGAAGAAGCUCAAAACGAACUCUUGUUCCGACAUGGCACCACAUUGCUUUUACCUGUUGAUUCUUGUGGGUCAACUCUUGAGAUUAACCUGUCACCUCUAUCCACAUGCAUAUUCCUUGUGUUCUACAGACUUUUUACCGGUAAUUCAAAUUAAAUCGGAUAAUGCAUGAACAAUAAUGGAACUUUAUGAAAGCAUCAUCCCAUGUUGUGGUUUGUGUUUGAUAAGAAAUUAUGAAAAACAAAAUUAAGGCUAUUUAAAGAAAUUCAUAAUUGUUGUGAAAAUUUGUUUUUCAAUAAAAGUAUGCAAUUAUG